rnacentral:lncRNA from 1 species
AAUGUCAUGGUGGAAGGCAGCCUGGGCCUUGAAGACUUUGCAUAAAUCCUGAAAGGCCACUUGGAAAUUUUAUGUUUUGUUGCCAUGACACCCCAUGCACAGUCCAAAUGAGCCAGUUCUACCUUUUCUCCUGUGUCAAGAUGAAUGAUUAGAGCAAGCUUCUGGCUGGAGGAAUACUCUUGCUGUCCUCAUGAUGCAAAAGAUUCCACCUGCUACUAUACAGGACUUGAAUGAGGAUGCCUAUUUUUUCAAGACUUGUAGAGGCAGCUGCCUUCCUUUGAAACUAGCACCUUUUAGAAGCCUGUACUUUGGGUUCCCUAGCACCAGAACACAGUGAAACUACAUCUCUCUGCAGAACAAUGACCUCUGAAAGAAGUAGCAUUCUGGCUUCUCUUGGCCCGUCUUCAAAGACAGCCUCUUUUUCAUUGUCCAUCCAUUGGGAAACCCAGAGGAUAGCCUUUGAAGCUUCCUAGGGAUUUUUUGUAUUCCCCACCACCCCUCCAGUGAUCCAAAUCCCUUGCUGUUUCCUGGCUUGGGAGUUGGAACCGCAGCGAAAAACGGUGUACCAUCCCGGGGAAGAACAGUUAAUGUGGAAAUGCAAGGAAAUGGGUACAACAGGAGCUUCAUAGAGCUUGUUUUCUAACUUUGCAGACUGAAUGUAGGUACUGGGAAACUUAAGUUCAUGAGUAUUUGUGAAAUACUUAGGUACUUCCAAAUAAAAUUAUGAUGGAAGUGUAAGAUUAUUUUCA